UACGUAGGGGGCAAGCGUUGUCCGGAUUUAUUGGGCGUAAAGAGCGUGUAGGCGGCUUUACAGGUCCGUUGUGAAAACUCGAGGCUCAACCUCGAGACGCCGGUGGAAACCGUAAAGCUAGAGUCCGGAAGAGGAGAGUGGAAUUCCUGGUGUAGCGGCGAAAUGCGCAGAUAUCGGGAAGAACACCCGUGGCGAAGGCGGUUCUCUGGGACGGUACUGACGCUGAGACGCGAAAGCGUGGGGAGCGAACAGG
rnacentral:rRNA from 1 species